rnacentral:rRNA from 1 species
AUUGAACGCUGGCGGCAGGCCUAACACAUGCACGUCGAACGAGUGGCGGACGGGUGAGUAAUGUCUGGGAAACUGCCUGAUGGAGGGGGAUAACUAACGGAAACGGUAGCUAAUACCGCCUACCAUCGGAUGUGCCCAGAUGGGAUGAGCGAGUAGGUGGGGUAAAGGCUCACCUAGGCGACGAUCCCUAGCUGGUCUGAGAGGAUGACCAGACACAAUGUAACUGAGACACGGUCCAGACGCCUACGGGAGGCAGCAGUGGGGAAUAUUGCACAAUGGGCGCAAGCCUGAUGCAGCCAUGACGCGUGUAUGAAGAAGGCCUUCGGGUUGUAAAGUACUUUAAGCGGGGAGGCGUUACCCGCAGAAGAGGCACCGGCUAACUCCGUGCCAGCAGCCGCGGUAAUAC